GGGCGAUUAGCUCAGCCGGUUAGAGCGCUUCUCUGAUAAGGAAGAGGUCCCAGGUUCGAGUCCUGGAUCGCCCA
rnacentral:tRNA from 3 species